UUUUUUCCCCCCUCUUUCCCAGGGUGGAAAUCCUCAUUAGAGUAACCGACUUGAAGUCUGCGAAACCGUCUCUUCCCGGCGCUGCUAUUUGCAGUGGGAGCACGUGCGGGCUGCGAGCGCCGAGCCCUGUCGAUCAGCAGCCCCGCUUGCUCGGGAGCGGAGGUGUUUAGGCAGUUCACAAAGCUCCCAUCCAUUCUGCAGACAGAUGUGCGUGCCACAGCCACCCUCUGCACAUGCCCAUAAUAGAAGCCAUUAGCUUCCCCGUUCCCUGCGCGCUGCAGCGCGUCGCGGGGACGCGGCGCGUUCCUAAUGCAUGAAGUGUGGUCCGGGUAGGACACAAAUAGUCUUGCAGAUUACCAGGUAAAAUUGGCUUUUACCUCUCCCCCAUCCUUCUCAGACAGUUUCCUGCCAAACUCCAGCUUUUAAGUCGGCACUCAAAGAAAUUCCCUCCGCGUAAAAGGCCUCUUGCUACCUUUUAAAUUGGCUAAUGUUUGGCAGAGAAGCUGAGGAGCCGGUGCUGUUAUUUAGUGCCUUCAUUACUUACUGCCUUGAGACUUCAUCUGAUAUUCCUGGCUCCUGUUCAUUCGGGGCGUGCUGGGGUAGCGGCGGUGCCCGCAUCCCUCCUGCCUGUCUCUGGGCCCCAGGGGGCUCGCAGCGAUGUGCCAGGCUCUCCCUGCCCAGCACGAAUCCAGCAGGCUUGGUUUUUGGUCCAAGCCCAUGCGCGAAGCUGAGGAUGAACACCCGCCUUGCUGCUGGUGGAAGACGAGAAGCAGCAUUCCUCCAACCGGGAAUGUUGUUAGCAUCCAGCUGGGAUGUGAAAAUCACUCGUAGGUUUGUAUCUCUAAAUAUUGCCAGCCUGAUGCCACCAUCUUCAAAAAGGGAAGGAACAGCAAGCCGACUCCUGUCAGUUUGUUAGAGCAUAUUUAUAACUCAAAUGCUAAUUCCUGCUCUUGACUCAUAAUAGCUUCUGAAUUCUGAAUCUUUAAAUUCCGGAUCUCGUGUUUUGAGGUUAAUCCAUUCAGAUAGAUUGGGAAGUCGAAUUUAUAAUUUGGAGAAGUAGUGUCAGUCCUUCUUUGCUUCAGCCCAUCAUUUCAUGUCGGCAGUGGGUCCCACCAGCCAGCCAGUGCUUGACCCUUCCUUAUAGUCUAGUCAGGAGCAAUGCAUUCAUUUUAUCUGACUUGAUAGUGCAGUUUCCUUCAUACUCUUACCUUGGCCUGUAAGCUUAAGAGCCGCGAUGACUGGCUGUCAGCAUACUCGCCUGCCUCUGAUUUAACUCAUUCAGCUUAUUGUGAGCCUUAACCUAUUUUCCGUGCUGCCUCCAAGUGUAAAGAGAUUAACAAGACCCAAAAAAAAAAAAAAAAGCCCCAACCCCGUAUCUUCGUCUUUCCAAUUUCUCCCAAGAAGCACUGCAGACCUGUGGGCUUUGGAGGCCGGCGUGGUGCUAAUGCAUCGCGUGGAUUGAGCACAGCCUUUAGCAGCAGCCCCUGCAGAAGGCAGCGCCUGUCCCAGCGCUCUGCUGGUGACAAAGCUCCAGGAGCUGCCUUCACCUUGCAUAAAGCUUUGCUUGACUUGCUCUCAUUAUGCUUCAGUCUCGUAUCAGAUUGUGUAGAGAGCAUGCUCGUUACAAAGCGAGACAAAAGAAGAAAAAGUAACCCGCAUUUUGAUGAGAAUUCUGUCUUUUAAUCACCGUGGUCGGAAACAAUAGCAAAAUCACAAAGCAACGGUUGUAAAUUUCUGUCUUGAAACUUUAAUUCUUCUUUUCUGCUCUUCUUCUUUUUUUUUUUUUUUUUCCCCCUCAGCUAAGUGGUGAAAGAUCACAGUGUUUUAAUGAUGCCUGCUAGUGUGGCUUCCUACGACUAAUGAGGUGUCAGCUGGCAGCAAGGAUGGGGCCAGGCCCCAGCAGCAAGCUCUGCCUCCCACCCUGCCACAUCUGUAGGAAGGUGUUCAGUGUCAGCUAAGGGAUGUGACACACCUCCUGCCCACGGCUUUGCCAGAGCAAGGGGCAGGCUUUGCAUUCUGGAAUCGCAGAGUUAUUCAGGUUGGAAGAGUUGGCUGAGAUCGUCAAAUCCAACCACCAGCCGAGCUUCAGGUUCUGCUGGUAUUUCUCCUUACCAAGCUGGGGGCAGCAGUCCCCGUGUGCCAGCUGUGCCACUGAACCUGUGAAUCCCCACUCCUUGCCAUGCGUAUCCACCAUCCUGCCUUUCAUUCAUGCACGAGGCUUGGGGUGGGGGCUCCUCACCAAUUCUUCAGCUGAUCCACCCCUCCUGCCUGGCCCAGCUGACUUCCAGUGGCAGUGUGCUGCAUCUCAGCGAAGCGCUGCGCGCAAGUUUUAAUUGCACUACAGAAGUGACUUUCUGCCAAUAGCUCAUUAGACUUCGUGAAUGCUCGAGCUGAAGAAUAGUCUCUCUGGAUUAGCAUCACACUCCAAGACACCCUUCUUGUUGGAUCGCUGUCAGGCAAAUUGAUAAAAGAAUAUUUCUGGAUGGAGCAAAAACAGGAGCGGUGGUGAGAUGCGGCAAUCUAGAGAGAGGCUUCCAGACAGAUGAGCCAAAAGCGAGAAGGCAUUGCUUCUGCAUCCAGGACGUCACAGGCACGGAGGGAGCACGGCGAGCCUAGAUGAAAAAGGAGCUAUUUUUCUCCUGGAAAUAGGAAGAAGCCCUAGGGUUCGGCUGCAGUGAUUUGGGCAGGAAGCUCUGCUGCUGGAGGAGCUCUGCAGGAGGCAGAACCCGACGCGGUGGCAGCAACGUUGCAAACACACCCGGGGUCGUUAACACGGUGCAUAUUUCCAAUCAUGUGAAUGGUGGUGGCAGGAUUUAGCACAGAGGGUCGUGCAGCUGCGUGCUGCCCAUGCUCCUCCCGUCCCCAAAGCUGCCAGUGACCCCGGUGAGAGGGGCACGGAGCUCGGUGCUGCUGGGGGAUAUUCCACAGCCACUGGAACAACCUUUGGAAAUGGAGUUGAAGCUACAAAGCUCGUUUCAGCUAUCUCUUAAGUGCUGCUCAUCCUGGCAGAUAAGUCAUUCCGUGCCCGUCUUUCAAAACGACUGGCUCAGCUAUUGUCUGCAUCAAAUCACCUUUGUUUAUAGCGCGCUCCGUAAUGGAUCCGGCGGCGGAGUAAAAUUUAAAUAAGUAAUUAUUGCGCAGGAGGCGCACGCUAAAUGGAGCCAUUUCCCCGGCUGCGCUGCCCUCUCGGCUGCACCCGGAGCACGAGGCAACUCCCCGCAGCCUCUCCGUAAUCAGAGCUAUUUAUCAUUUUAAUGGAACGCCGCGGAAUAUUACAUGGCGCAAUGUGUUUAAAUUGAUAAAUUGUAUUAGAAAAACAUCGGAUAGGAUUUUUAAUGCCCUUUAGGGUAAAGAGGAAUGGGCUCAACCGGUGAAGGUGAACUUUAUUAACAGUUGUAAGGAGAGAUGCUGCUGCAGCUCCGUGCCCGGUGGUGUUGCACUGAUGGGAAGCUGAAAAAUGCAACUUCACACCGUGCAUCCUCGCACUGGAGCUUCAGCAGGAGGCCAGGGAUGUGUCUGCUGACCGGGUUGGGGUGCCCAGCAGUUCCUUUCCAGCAGCACCGCUCCUGUUUGCAGGCCGCUGCUCCAAGAGGAUCUGCUCUAUGGGAGGACGUCGUCAGCUCCUCCUAAUGGCUCUGCUACUUGAGUUCAUUAAAUAAUCACCUCACACCGAA